rnacentral:rRNA from 1 species
AUGAAGGAGCGGUACUUGUACUGGGAGAAGGUGCAACCUGUCGAAGGCGAUUGCACCUAUAAUCCCAACUUGUCCAUACAACCUCUUAUGAGGAACUGGACCGAAGGUGCAGCCACUAGGAGAGAUCGGUUCGACUAUAACAAUGGGCGCGGCCGUGGUAACGUCAAGAGGUUGUUGGAGAAGAUGAACAAAUCAGGUGUCAUGUACAAGCCGGCUGCUGCCGUGCCAUCCAUGGACAAUGAUGUGGAUCAAGAAGUGGAUUCGUUCGAGAACGCUCUCUUUUCUGAAAUUGAUGAGCCGGAGGGUGUGGCAGAUGAGUUGACGCUGGAAAUAAUUGAUGCAGUUGUUUCAUUUGUCGAGUUAGCUGCUAGCACCAACAAGAAUAAGGGGAAGAAAGUUUACCACAAUGAAGUGCAUGGCAUAUCUCUGACUUCCGAAAGGAUUCGACCGGUUAUUGAUGUUUAUAUGCGACAUUUGGAGCUGCGCGUUGGUCAUGAUCGUUACCUAUGUCCAGCGUGGAGGUCCAAAUUCUCUAUAGAUCAUGCUAUCGCAUGA